rnacentral:rRNA from 1 species
GCUGAGUACGGUGCUAGCGCCCGACCUCCACCCUUUGUUGUUAAAACUACCUUGUUGCUUUGGCGGGACCGCUCGGUUCCGAGCCGCUGGGGAUUCGUCCCAGGCGAGCGCCCGCCAGAGUUAAACCAAACUCUUGUUAUUUAAACCGGUCGUCUGAGUUAAAAUUUUGAAUAAAUCAAAACUUUCAACAACGGAUCUCUUGGUUCUCGCAUCGAUGAAGAACGCAGCGAAAUGCGAUAAGUAAUGUGAAUUGCAGAAUUCAGUGAAUCAUCGAAUCUUUGAACGCACAUUGCGCCCCUUGGUAUUCCGAGGGGCAUGCCUGUUCGAGCGUCAUUACACCACUCAAGCUAUGCUUGGUAUUGGGUGCCGUCCUUAGUUGGGCGCGCCUUAAAGACCUCGGCGAGGCCACUCCGGCUUUAGGCGUAGUAGAAUUUAUUCGAACGUCUGUCAAAGGAGAGGAACUCUGCCGAUUGAAACCUUUUAUUUUUCUAGGUUGACCUCGGAUCAGGUAGGGAUACCCGCUGAACUUAAGCAUAUCAUAAGGCCGCGAAGGAAA